rnacentral:lncRNA from 1 species
UCAUGGGGCAGUUUCCUCCAUGCUAUUCUUGAGAUAGUGAAUAAGUUCUCAUGAGAUCUAAUGGUUUUAUAAGGGGCUUCCCUCUUCACCCAGCUCUCAUUCUUCUUCUUCCUUAUGCCAUGUGAAAAAGAUAUGUUUGCUUCCCUUUCCACCAUGAUUGUAAGUUUCCUGAGGCCUCCCCAGCUCUGCAGAACUAACACUCAUCCUGGAAGAAGCCAGCUACCAUGACUUGAGGACACUUAGCCCCAAGGAAAAGCCAUUAGCAAGGAACUGAGACUUCCCGUCAACAGCCAUGUGAGUGGGCCUUCCUGGAAAUUGAUCCUGCAGUUUCAGUCAAGGCUUCAGAUGAUGCAACCCAGAUGCUGAACCAGAAACACCCAGUGAAACCACGCCUAGAUUCCUGACUCUCAGAAACUGUGGGAGAAUAAAUGUUUGUUUUAAGCCACUAAAUUUGGGGGCAAUUUGCUAUGUAACAAUAGGUAACUAAUACAAUAAGUUAAAAUGCAACAUCUGAGAAAUUUAGAACAUAAACUCCUUGAUGAUAAUGUUAUAUUUGUUCUUUGGGAGAAAAAAAAAACUGAAAAGAAAUCUCUUCAUCUUAUUGUGAGGAUGUAAAAUGCAUAUUCCAGCCACAUUAUAUUCAGUUUUCAAAUCACUUUUAUCCACCCAGUUAUCAAGGACCUUGUAUAUACAUUCUAUUAGGAUAAAAUGAUAGAAAUAUAAAGAAGUGGUAAUAUCUUCAAAAUGCUUAAACCAAAAGUCUGAGACCGACAUCUUGCAGCAGGUUUUUUGUUUUCAUUCUCAGCAUUCAUUUGCAUUUUAUUUAACCCAAGUUAAUAGCUAUCUAGGCUGUACAUUUUCCAUUAGACCUUUAAGAUCCAUUCUUUUCUUUUCUACCUUAGUUUGUACUUUGAUGCUGGCCUUUGGGGACUGAAUCUAUAUGCCCCUCUGCCCUCUGGCUUUCUCUUGGUUUCAGCCAAUGGAAGAGCAUGCAGGAGACCAGAGAGUGAGAGAGGAAUAAGAUGAAGUGUGGAAUGUUGAUGCCAAGAAGUGAUCCAGACAACAAAGACAAUGGCAAUUAACUGGAUGGAACAUUCAUUUCUGUGUGUGAGAACUUAUAUAGGGGACUGGACCUUGACACUUCUCUUUGAAGAACAAUACCACACUUGAAACUUUAUAAGGUAUGGGCUGGUUAGGAAGUGUAGUCAUUAUUUACACCAUUGCUUGCAUAGGAAAAUAAAUUCUGG